rnacentral:rRNA from 1 species
GAUGAACGCUGGCGGCGUGCCUAAUACAUGCAAGUCGAGCGAACGGACGAGAAGCUUGCUUCUCUGAUGUUAGCGGCGGACGGGUGAGUAACACGUGGAUAACCUACCUAUAAGACUGGGAUAACUUCGGGAAACCGUAGCUAAUACCGGAUAAUAUUUUGAACCGCAUGGUUCAAAAGUGAAAGACGGUCUUGCUGUCACUUAUAGAUGGAUCCGCGCUGCAUUAGCUAGUUGGUAAGGUAACGGCUUACCAAGGCAACGAUGCAUAGCCGACCUGAGAGGGGGAUCGGCCACAGUGGACCUGGGAAACGGUCCAGAGUCCUACGGGAGGCAGCAGUAGGGAAUCUUCCGCAAUGGGCGAAAGCCUGACGGAGCAACGCGGCGUGAGUGAUGAAGGUCUUCGGAUCGUAAAACGCUGUUAUUAGGGAAGAACAUAUGUGUAAGUAACUGUGCACAUCUGGACGGUACCUAAUCAGAAGACCACGGCUAACUACGU